UACGUAGGGGGCUAGCGUUGUCCGGAUUUAUUGGGCGUAAAGGGCGCGUAGGCGGCGUGUUAAGUCACGUGUGAAAUCUCUAAGCUUAACUUAGAACGGUCAAGUGAUACUGAUGUGCUAGAGUGCAGAAGGGGCAACCGGAAUUCUUGGUGUAGCGGUGAAAUGCGUAGAUAUCAAGAGGAACACCUGAGGUGAAGACGGGUUGCUGGGCUGACACUGACGCUGAGGCGCGAAAGCUAGGGGAGCGAACGGG
rnacentral:rRNA from 1 species